CCAGCACACACACGGUUCUGCAUUGUCCUCAGAUGAACCAUGUGCUAUUGCCAGGAAUCAAGCACAUAUAAUAGAAGGUAACUGGGUUAGAAGCCAACACUGAAUUUCAGCAAGAAAAAGGGAAGAAAAAAAAUCAUUGAAAGCCAGUGAUCUCUGGUCUGCUGGACAAGUCUUCACCUGACAUUUAGCCACCCCCUCUGGUCAAGUGCUGUCCAGUUUACUCUGUAGUGUAGGCUGCUGGAUUCCCAGAGGAGAGGAGGUGUUCUCCAGUACCUGGUCAACUGGGAGAGCUAUGGACCUGAGGAGAGGAGCUGGGUUCCUGCCAGGGAUUUCUUGGACCCAGUGUUGGUGCAGGAGUUUCACCAGUGUCAUUCGGACUGCCCAGUCAGUUGUUCUCUGGGUCAUCAGAGAAGACAUUCCGUGAGUGGACCCUCGAUCCAGUGCUGCACUAGCUCCGGAAGUGUGGCCCAGAAGUGUGACUCCUCCAGGAGCGUGGGUGGUCGUCGUCAAGGUCGGCCUCAUUCCUCUGCCUUAUCGGAAUCCUUGGGGGGGGUACUGUCAUGCUUUCUGAUUCUCAUUCAGAAUCUCAUACUAUCAAGGACUCCACUUCCCAGAAUACUUCUGUCAGUCAUGAGACUCUUCCAGCUAAUAAUAAUUGACCCAGCAGAUCACAAUCACCAGAAUAGUAAUCAUUACCACUUGUCUUGCUCUGUAUAUAUACCUGUCUGUUUGAACCUUGUCUUUGCCAAGCCAUUUGUUUUUCUGAUUGCUGUUCCCUGUUUGACCUCACUUGUUUUUCCCGUUGACAAUUCUGGCUCCUGUUUUGGCUUUGUUGUUUUCAUGUAUGUUUUUUCUCUGGUUACGACCCUCGUCUGUUUUUUUCGACUACACUUUUGCCUAUUCCUGUGUAUUUUGUCUUGCUUUUCUGGUUAUAGACUGGGAUUGGUCUGGUGUUAACUCUGUUUAUCUCCAUUUGAAUAAAUCUUCCAGGUUAAUUUUUA